CGUGCAGGCGGCCUAUUAAGUCAGAUGUGAAAGCCCUCGGCUCAACCAAGGAACUGCAUUUGAAACUAAUAGGCUUGAGUACGGGAGAGGAGAGUGGAAUUCCCGGUGUAGAGGUGAAAUUCGUAGAUAUCGGGAAGAACACCGGUGGCGAAGGCGGCUCUCUGGACCGAUACUGACGCUGAGACGCGAAAGCGUGGGGAGCAAACA
rnacentral:rRNA from 1 species